rnacentral:rRNA from 1 species
GACGAACGCUGGCGGCGUGCUUAACACAUGCGAGUCGAACGGAAAGACCCUGCUUUUGUGGGGUGCUCGAGUGGUGAACGGGUGAGUAACACGUGAGUAACCUGCCCUUGACUUUGGGAUAACUUCAGGAAACUGGGGCUAAUACCGGAUAGGAGCUCCUGCUGCAUGGUGGGGGUUGGAAAGUUUCGGCGGUUGGGGAUGGACUCGCGGCUUAUCAGCUUGUUGGUGGGGUAGUGGCUUACCAAGGCUUUGACGGGUAGCCGGCCUGAGAGGGUGACCGGCCACAUUGGGACUGAGAUACGGCCCAGACUCCUACGGGAGGCAGCAGUGGGGAAUAUUGCACAAUGGGCGGAAGCCUGAUGCAGCAACGCCGCGUGCGGGAUGACGGCCUUCGGGUUGUAAACCGCUUUCGCCUGUGACGAAGCGUGAGUGACGGUAAUGGGUAAAGAAGCACCGGCUAACUACGUG